CACCACUCGGUGCCCUUGACCGCGGACCUCGCUGCCUCUCCAUUGGCCCGGCCGGUCACGUGCGCGGCCGCCGGUCCCAGCCGGCUACAGAGCCGCUGCUGUGCCCGGUCUUGCAAAUCGCCGCCGUCCAGCCGCCUGCUCUGGUGCGAGUCUUCUCCGCUUUACGACUCGGACUCAGAAAAGCCGGCCUGGGCUUCGGCCACUUCCCCAGCACCCGUGUCUGCCCUUCCAAUUGCCCCUUUCCUGCCUGGCACGACCUGGCCUUGCUCACUGCACGCUUCCCUUCUAAGUGAGCCUUCUUUUUCCUUUCCCUCAGCCAGCCUUGAAGUCUCCUUCGACAGAGAGUGAGACCUGCUGUCCUCCCUGCCCUUAGUCACUGUCCACUCAGCCUAAUGCCUCUGUGGAAGAGGAGGAGCCGCCAUCUCUGAACUGUUAAUGGAGGUGGGGAAAGAGAGCCAAGCUAGGAAACAGGUUGAUAGACGGAUCGGCCCAGUCAACUGUGAACACAGCUGCUGAUUCAUGCAAUA
rnacentral:lncRNA from 1 species